rnacentral:rRNA from 1 species
CCUACGGGAGGCAGCAGUGGGGAAUAUUGCGCAAUGGGCGAAAGCCUGACGCAGCGACGCCGCGUGGGGGAUGAAGGCCUUCGGGUUGUAAACCCCUUUCAGCAGGGACGAAGCGAGAGUGACGGUACCUGCAGAAGAAGCGCCGGCUAACUACGUGCCAGCAGCCGCGGUAACACGUAGGGCGCAAGCGUUGUCCGGAAUUAUUGGGCGUAAAGAGCUCGUAGGCGGUCUGUUGCGUCUGCUGUGAAAACCCGGGGCUUAACCCCUGGCUUGCAGUGGAUACGGACAGACUAGAGGUAGGUAGGGGAGAAUGGAAUUCCCGGUGUAGCGGUGAAAUGCGCAGAUAUCGGGAGGAACACCGGUGGCGAAGGCGGUUCUCUGGGCCUUACCUGACGCUGAGGAGCGAAAGCGUGGGGAGCGAACAGGAUUAGAUACCCUGGUAGUCCACGCUGUAAUCGUUGGGCGCUAGGUGUGGGGUCCUUCCACGGAUUCCGUGCCGCAGCUAACGCAUUAAGCGCCCCGCCUGGGGAGUACGGCCGCAAGGCUAAAACUCAAAGGAAUUGACGG